rnacentral:rRNA from 1 species
AGUCUUAACUGGGCGUUAAGUUGCAGGGUAUAGACCCGAAACCCGGUGAUCUAGCCAUGGGCAGGUUGAAGGUUGGGUAACACUAACUGGAGGACCGAACCGACUAAUGUUGAAAAAUUAGCGGAUGACUUGUGGCUGGGGGUGAAAGGCCAAUCAAACCGGGAGAUAGCUGGUUCUCCCCGAAAGCUAUUUAGGUAGCGCCUCGUGAAUUCAUCUUCGGGGGUAGAGCACUGUUUCGGCUAGGGGGUCAUCCCGACUUACCAACCCGAUGCAAACUACGAAUACCGAAGAAUGUUAUCACGGGAGACACACGGCGGGUGCUAACGUCCGUCGUGAAGAGGGAAACAACCCAGACCGCCAGCUAAGGUCCCAAAGUCAUGGUUAAGUGGGAAACGAUGUGGGAAGGCACAGACAGCCAGGAUGUUGGCUUAGAA